CUUGUGAUUGUACUGGUAGUUGUGCUCUUACUGCUCUUAGUGCCACUGCUUAUACUGAUUCAGCAGAACAGAGUGAUGAGGAGAGCUCUCUCUAAGAGGAGACACAGGAUGACGUCUGAGGCCGUUUAUGAGGAGAUUCAGCACAGACACAAUCACUUCACUCAGAGGGGGAGUCUCAUUUCUGAAGAACUGAAUUCUGGGUAUGAAGAUGCU